ACCAGGAUGGCUGAGUGGUUAAGGUGUUGGACUUAAGAUCCAAGGGGCAAAUGUCUGCAUGGGUUCAAACCCCACUCCUGCUA
rnacentral:tRNA from 1 species